GGUUUAUAAAGGGCAGUUCCCCUGCACAAGCUCUCUCUGUUGUCUGCCCCCACGUAAGACAUGCCUUUCACCUUCCACCGUGAUUGUGAGGCCUCCACAGCCACAUGGAACUGACCUGUUCUGAAUGGUGCUGAAGCCCCAUGUGACAGAGUCCAUGCCCAUCAGGAGGCUGACCUUCAGGACAAGAGAGGAUGCAUUCUUAACCACAGCUGUCAAUGGCAGCCUGAUUCUUUCACGCUGAAAACCGGAUCACUGCAUCUUAUAGCAAUCGACAUUCCCAGCACAUGACCAUUCAGUCAACAACUUUUAACUGAGCAUCUACUAGGUACCAGGCCUCUGUGCUAGGCGCUGGGGGGCACAACAGGUAGCAUCCUCUUUCUCAACACAGUCUAAUGGCCAAAAAAGCACUCCGCAAUAUAGAAGGCAGAAGAGGCCGGGGACGGUGGCUCACGCCUGUAAUCCCAGCAUUUUGGGCGGCCGAGGCAGGCAGAUCCCGAGGUCAGGAGAUGGAGACCAUCCUGGCUAACAGAGUGAAACCUGUCUCAACUAAAAAAAUACAAAAAAAUUAGCCGGGCGUGGUGGUGGGAGCCUGUAGUCCCAGCUACUCAGGAGGCUGAGGCAGGAGAAUGGAGUGAAACCGGGAGGUGGAGCUUGCAGUGAGCGAAGAUCGUGCCACUGCAGUCCAACCUGGGCGACAGAGCGAGACUCCAAAAAAAAGAAGAAGAAGAAGAAGGCAGAAGAAGGAGAACAAAAUAUCUGAAACAUCUGCAACAUUUAACUUCUCCUGCUUUUCUGUGCAAGACCAAGGCACUGCGGCUAUGUCCUGGGACUGCUGGGCUCCUGAUAUCAAACGUUAAGUGGUGGCAGGUCCAGGGACAUCCAGGCUGGUGGUGGCCAGGGGUCUUCUACUCCUCCCCCCACCAAACAUAGCCUCCAAGAACACUGUUAAGCUCACAGAGCCACGUGUUGGCAGCCUCCCACCUCUUCUCCUCUGCCCCCAGCCUCUGCCAAAGCCACUGCUCCUCUGGACCUGAGUGGGAACCUAUGGGUCCUUUGGGGCCAUCGGAAUUCAGAGGCUCAGAAUCUCAUUCUCUGAUGCCUGUACAGCUUCCCAGCUUCUAGUCUGCGUGGGACUGUUAAGAGCACAAUUAUUUUAAGAAAUGUUAUCCCGAUGUACUUCACAGGAAAAUAUCGGUAAAAUUAUGUUAAGCUUUGCAAAUGCUGCUGGCAGAGAGAAAGAAAACUCAAUUCUUUUUGUUAUUGCUUCCCAUUUACCUCUUUCCCCACCCUGUUUUUAACUUGUGGCCAAAAAGAAACUAAAAUGAGCCCACUUUUUAAGGUUGCUCAGUUGUGAUGUAAAUUUCUUGCCGUUCGUUGCUUUUUAAAAUUUUUUUGCCUGAUUUGGUCAUUCCUUUAGCUUGAUAUAUAGUAAUACAUUUUUGCUUACGACUUCUAGCUUACUUUUUGUUUUUCAAAGAAGAUUCUCCCAGGAGUUUUCUCAGUCACUCUGCAUCUGGCAGAGAUCAACUGUCCCUCUGAGUCCUGCCCAAAGCAUUUCGCUCCUGGAGCCACAUCCUGUUCUGCCUCAUAUACCAGCGAGUCAUGUCCCAGUCUGUCUCCCCACUAAACUGGGAGAGCUUUGAGGCUGUCCCAGUUCCCUCUGGAUUCUCAGUGCACAGGGCAAGGCCUGAUAUGUAGAAAGGUCUCAAAAGCAGCCAAAUGAACAACUGAUCUGAUAUGGUUUGGCUGUGUCCCCACCCAAAUCUCAUCUUGAAUUGUAGCUCCCAUAAUUUCUACAAAUUGUGGGAGGGAACAGGUGGGAGAUCAUUGAAUCACAGGGGUGGUUUUUCCCAUAUUGGUCUCAUGGUAGUGAAUAAGUCUUGCAAGAUCUGAUGAUUCUAUAAGGGGUUUCUCCUUUUGCUUGGCUCUCAUCCUCUCUUGCCUGCUGCCAUGUAAGACGUGCUUUUGCCUUCCACCAUGAUUUUGA
rnacentral:lncRNA from 1 species